GAUGAACGCUGGCGGCGGGCCUAAUACAUGCAAGUCGAGCGAACAGACGAGGAGCUUGCUCCUCUGACGUUAGCGGCGGACGGGUGAGUAACACGUGGAUAACCUACCUAUAAGACUGGGAUAACUUCGGGAAACCGGAGCUAAUACCGGAUAAUAUAUUGAACCGCAUGGUUCAAUAGUGAAAGACGGUUUUGCUGUCACUUAUAGAUGGAUGCUCGCCGCAUUAGCUAGUUGGUAAGGUAACGGCUUACCAAGGCAACGAUGCGUAGCCGACCUGAGAGGAUGAUCGGCCACACUGGAACUGAGACACGGUCCAGACUCCUACGGGAGGCAGCAGUAGGGAAUCUUCCGCAAUGGGCGAAAGCCUGACGGAGCAACGCCGCGUGAGUGAUGAAGGUCUUCGGAUCGUAAAACUCUGUUAUUAGGGAAGAACAAAUGUGUAAGUAACUAUGCACGUCUUGACGGUACCUACUCAGAAAGCCACGGCUAACUACGUG
rnacentral:rRNA from 1 species